rnacentral:rRNA from 1 species
CCUCCCACGACCUGAAGAACGGGUGUGAGAGUGGAAAGUUCACACUGUGACGGUAGCUUACCAGAAAGGGACGGCUAACUACGUGCCAGGCAGCCGCGGUAAUACGUAGGUCCCGAGCCGUUGUCCGGAUUUAUUGGGCGUUAAAGCGAGCGCAGGCGGUUUGAUAAGUCUGAAGUUAAAGGCUGUGGCUCAACCAUAGUUCGCUUUGGAAACUGUCAAACUUGAGUGCACACAGGGAUGCUGGAAUUCAUGGUGUAGCGGUGAAAUGCUCAGAUAUCAUGAAGAACUCCGAUCGCGAAGGCAGGUAUCCGGGGUGCAACUGACGCUGAGGCUCGAAAGUGCGGGUAAUCAAACAGGAUUAGAUACCUGGUAGUCCGCACAGUAA